rnacentral:lncRNA from 1 species
GUGGAGGGUCAAGCGCGCGCCCGCCCGCCAGGCUUCCAGACUCGCCCCCGCGCGGCCUGAGCCCCGCGACGGCCAGCAGUGGCGCGUCUCCCCCCAAAGGGAGGCUGAGCCCGGGAGCUGCCCGUCCUCCUCCGACCCCACACACGCCGACCGCGAACAGCCCAUAGGGACCGACUCUCAGAAGAGCUCGAGGCCCGACCCUACGCCCAGGGGUCGCCGCGGCCCGCAAGGCGUCGAAGUUGAGACUCCCACUCCGGCGCAGACGCGACCUUCCUCCCGGGCCCGCGCAUCCCGGCCUUGCAGACAUACCUGGAGGGGUCUAGCCUCCACUCGCGGUUCCGGGUCACGAGGCUCGCGGAGAAGGGGGCUCUUGUCACCCACUCGCGACUGCAGGUGGGGGAAGGGCGAGCGCUAGCGCUUUUGCGCAAGCGUGCACCUUGUGGAGCGAGCGGCCGUUCCCAGAGUCCUCGGAGCUGUGACGCUGAGGUGUAGGACUACAAUUCCCAUAAUGCCUCUGAGCCGCGCUGCUAGGAACUCUGGGAAACGUACGCAUUAUUAGUUGGGUAGGGACCGUUUUUUCCAAGUUAACAGUCUGGUUUGUGUUACGGUCCCUUUCAUCUUCCUGUGCUGUUAAAAACCCGGAUUUGGAGUAACUGAUUAAAACUUUCAACAACAAAA